GAAAUGCUAAAUUGGACAGUUUAGAUUAUGAGUGUAAGGAGGUAAAGCUUCAUGAAGGAAGGAAGACUAAAGCUUGACCUUGAUGGAUAUUUAGGAUUUGACUAGAUAGAAGGGGAAAAAGGAGAAAGAACACUACAGAGAGGAAACAACAAUCAUCAAAGACACAGAGCAGGAAGAUCUUUUACUUAACGACUCUAAAAAAUGUUUAUCACCAUCUUUGUCUGCAAAUAAAAGAGAUAAAGAAUGGACCUGGGUCUUCAAAUUCAAGUUAGUGAAAUGUCUUCUAUUAAUUCAGGAACAGGCAUCAACGCCUCUCUGGGAAAGCCUGGAUUCUGUAGUCCAAAGCCUCUUUCCUGAGCCAUAA
rnacentral:lncRNA from 1 species